GGUAAUAAUAGUGGGUUAUCAGAACUUAUUAACAUUUAGUGUCACUAAAGUUGGUAUACAACCCCUCACUGCUAAACCUGGCUUUAA
rnacentral:sRNA from 1 species